GGGGGUGACGGGAUUCGAUGGGUGUUCGUUCCCAUUCCUACAGGCCAAGGGUGCUCGGGACCUUGUGAAUCCUCCGAGCGAACCUCUAGGUGUCAACACCUUCUCGCGGAUGAAGGAUGCGGUGCGCAAUGCGUUCCGUAUGCCGGCAUUCGCUUCGGCGGUCGCGUAAGCCACCGCCCAUCCGACUCCCCGAUGCUCGGUACGGGAGAUCCGGGUGUGAUUCCAUCGAGCUGGACGCGCGUCGCCCCGACCGCGCGUCGAGAUUCCCGGGGCUCACGUCGCGCGCAUUUCGCUCCGCUCGAGCGCGCGGCGGACACCCAAACGGAGCCACGCCUGGACACGGAAUGACUCGCGACCACCCACACGGGGGUUCAACUCCCCCCACCUCCAA
rnacentral:tmRNA from 1 species